rnacentral:misc_RNA from 1 species
AAUUUUGUGUUCUUACAAGCUGCAAAAAAGUAGGACUCACUCAAUAAGC